rnacentral:rRNA from 1 species
GGGUGUGAUCAUACCAGCGUUAAUGCAACGGAUCCCAUUAGAACUCUGAAGCUAAGCACGGUUGAGAUAUAGUAGUACUGGGAUGGGUGACCUCCCGGGAAGUCAUAGUGUUGCACCCU